rnacentral:rRNA from 1 species
UGCUCGAGUGGCGAACGGGUGAGUAACACGUGGGUGAUCUGCCCUGCACUUUGGGAUAAGCCUGGGAAACUGGGUCUAAUACCGAAUACACCCUGCUGGUCGCAUGGCCUGGUGGGGGAAAGCUUUUGCGGUGUGGGAUGGGCCCGCGGCCUAUCAGCUUGUUGGUGGGGUGAUGGCCUACCAAGGCGACGACGGGUAGCCGGCCUGAGAGGGUGUCCGGCCACACUGGGACUGAGAUACGGCCCAGACUCCUACGGGAGGCAGCAGUGGGGAAUAUUGCACAAUGGGCGCAAGCCUGAUGCAGCGACGCCGCGUGGGGGAUGACGGCCUUCGGGUUGUAAACCCCUUUCAGUAUCGACGAAGCCGUAAGGUGACGGUAGGUACAGAAGAAGCACCGGCCAACUACGUGCCAGCAGCCGCGGUAAUACGUAGGGUGCGAGCGUUGUCCGGAAUUACUGGGCGUAAAGAGCUCGUAGGUGGUUUGUCGCGUUGUCCGUGAAAACUCACAGCUUAACUGUGGGCGUGCGGGCGAUACGGGCAGACUGGAGUACUGCAGGGGAGACUGGAAUUCCUGGUGUAGCGGUGGAAUGCGCAGAUAUCAGGAGGAACACCGGUGGCGAAGGCGGGUCUCUGGGCAGUAACUGACGCUGAGGAGCGAAAGCGUGGGGAGCGAACAGGAUUAGAUACCCUGGUAGUCCACGCCGUAAACGGUGGGUACUAGGUGUGGGUUUCCUUCCUUGGGAUCCGUGCCGUAGCUAACGCAUUAAGUACCCCGCCUGGGGAGUACGGCCGCAAGGCUAAAACUCAAAGG